rnacentral:lncRNA from 1 species
GCUCGUGGAGGUAGAGGAGCCUGGCAAAUUAGGCUGGGGCUACAGAUAGAGAAGACUUGAGGUACAUCUGCUUGGUUGUGUGCUUUCCUAUAUCUUGCCUUCAGGAAUCACACUGUGCCUUCUCCACUAGGGAACUGAUUCUAUCUACACAGCUUUUCCAGUAACUGCUCUUGAAAAUUGUGGGUAAUGGCAGUUCUUCAUACUUCUGAUGACUCUUUUCUCCCAAUAACAUCCUAAUAUCCCUUACCUAGCUAAAGACUAGGCACAAAGUCAGAAUAUGUUGAUAAUGGUCUGAGGAAGCCAAAGGCAGCUGCCCUAGGGCCUGCUUCCCUCUCCCAAGUCUGUCAUCUCUGGGCAGAGGAGUAGUGCUCCAAUCUGGUGCCUAAAACCAGUUUAUCUUUCUUAAUACUGGCAAUAACCAGUCUCUGUACCACUGUUGCCUUUAAACCUUUUAAUCUCACGAUGUUUGUUGUGGGUUCCAAUCCAGUUAUCACCAGGGCUGUGAGGGUAAAUACUUCUAAACAGUCACUUACCUUGUUCUCUGCCCUCACUCUUGAGUAUGUAUGAUGUUAAUCUCUUGUCUUCCUGUUCCUUUUGUAUCUUCCUCGUCUCUCUCCCCCUAAUUUUGUCCCUGGGUGUUUUGGGGAUCUCAGUAUCUCUUUCUCUAUAUCUCUAUCUCAAUCUCUCUGCCUUUUGUACAAAGAUUAGUUUCAAUGUAGUCUGUAGCUCCUUUGUAAACCAAUUAAAAUUUUUUU